AAACAUGACUUUGAUCUGCGUCCUCAUCUGGACUCUCCUCUGCUGCUGCUUCACAGAGUCCAGAGGACAGAUCACAGUGACUCAGCCUGGAGCAGUGAGCUCUGCUGUGGGAGACACAAUCACCAUCAAGUGUAGGACCAGUCAGAAUGUUUUUGUUCAAAGCAGCUCUCACUGUUUAGCCUGGUUCCAACAGAAAGAUGAAAAACCUCCCAAACGGUUAAUUUACUACACUAGCACUCGAUAUUCAGGGAUUCCAGCUCGUUUUACAGGCAGUGGAUCAAACUCUGACUUCACUCUGACCAUCAGUGGAGUCCAGGCUGAAGAUGCAGCAGUUUAUUACUGUCAGAGUGCUCAUCUUAUCAACAGUCAAGCUGUGUUCACACAGUGAAAAACAGUCGUACAAAAACCUCCCUCAGUCAGACUGAACAGAAACUGAACUGACUGCUGCAGCUGGAAGAUACUGCAGAGACUGAUACAGUUCACUUUUUGUUUGUAAAAAAGUCAAGAGGUAGCAAAGUGGAACAGUUAUUUCAAAAUGUAUCCUGACCUUUGACCUCAGUUUCAUACUAGAUGAUAUCAAUAUAAUCUAUGAUUUGUUAAAUAUAAUCAAUCAGGUAAGCAAAAAAAGACUUUUAUUAACAUAUUUGAAAUUAAACUCAAUACAACUCAAAGAAAAGAAGAGGUCUUAUUUUAAAUAAUCUAAAACAAUGAAACAAUCUCACCAUGAGAUACAGCCAGUACCUGUUGAGGAGCUUUCAGUGACAACACAUGAGCUUCCUCAGCAGAUGGAGGCGUCCAUUUAUUACUGACAUGUAUGUGAUAAAUACACC